rnacentral:snRNA from 1 species
GUGCUCGCUUCGGCAGCACAUAUACUAAAAUUGGAA